UCUUCUGUUCAUGUGGGGUUGUCGUUUGCCGAGCUCCUUUUUGGCUUUUAUGCCGUUCGAGGAUACCCAAUUGUCAUUCCGUUGAUGGUUGCAGGUUUGCUUGGGGCCCUUCGGGCCCGAGAUUCCUCCUAGGGCUUGAAUUCGGGGAUUCGAGCUUCCGUUGCCUUCGGGCAUUAUUUGCUUUCAUUUUUGCUUGGAUUUUUCUCCGCUGAAGUCGGAGUUA
rnacentral:lncRNA from 1 species